rnacentral:rRNA from 1 species
UGGGGGAUAUUGCACAAUGGGCGGAAGCCUGAUGCAGCGACGCCGCGUGAGGGAAGACGGUCCUCUGGAUUGUAAACCUCUGUCUUCGGGGACGAUAAUGACGGUACCCGAGGAGGAAGCCACGGCUAACUACGUGCCAGCAGCCGCGGUAAUACGUAGGUGGCAAGCGUUGUCCGGAAUUACUGGGUGUAAAGGGAGCGUAGGCGGGUGAACAAGUUGAAUGUGAAAUCUAUCGGCUUAACCGGUAGAUGCGUUCAAAACUGUACAUCUUGAGUGAAGUAGAGGCAGGCGGAAUUCCUAGUGUAGCGGUGAAAUGCGUAGAUAUUAGGAGGAACACCAGUGGCGAAGGCGGCCUGCUGGGCUUUUACUGACGCUGAGGCUCGAAAGUGUGGGGAGCAAACAGG